GCAGUAUAAUCUUAAAGGUUCAGUAGAUUUGGUUCUUAUGAACAGCUGUAUGCUUAGAAGGAAGACUGAGAGCAAAGGCAGUGAAGUCACAGAUCCAGAAACUGAUUCAACAACUGGGACUGACACUCACACAUAAAUAAACACAUUACAUGUGUUAGUAAGAAAACUUACUGAGUCCAUCAAGAAACCUAGAACACCAUCCGCUACAAAUCCACACAUACUAACAGCAAAAGUUGAAGGUAACCCCAAAGAAGACAAGACAGACAGCCAAGCCCAACAAACAGAUGCAACAACUCAAGUGAUGAUUAUUUCAAGUAAGUUUUUACUACUCAUUCUACAACACCUUCUAAGCAUACAGCUGUUCAUAAGAACCAAAUCUACUGAACCUUUAAGAUUAUACUGCCAACUUAGUUCAACAAUCAGAACAGCACCUAGCAUUACAAAUAAGCAUAACCCUUCAAGAUCAACACCAAUUAACUGUAAAGAAAAGCAAUUAGAAUGACAUUCACAACAAUUACAUUUAAGUCAAAGACACAUCCCCAACACAUCCAAUCCCAGCAAUGAAGGCAACAACCACAGAAGACAAAGCCCUGCAUGAAAACAAAGACAAAAACAGGCACAGCUAAUUGCGUAACAAGACACACACAAGAUAAAUGCAAUAGAAAGAUAAGUGAGCAAAAAGUCAAAGACGAGGGCAAAAGAAACCGCUAGCAGAAAGAAAAGAACAAGGCCCAGAAACAGCAAAGACCGACACAAUUCAUGCAAAUAAAUAAACUAAGGGAAAGCAAAACCGAAACAGAAUAGAAAACAAAGACAAAAAAAACCACCAUGGGAGAUCAAAAACCAAGCUAAGAACACAGCACAACAUACACAAACAAAAAGCAAUUACCAAACACAGAAAAAACAGUAAAAAAGAAAAACCACAGAAAGGUAACACUAAAACUGGCAAAAAACCUAACAAGAACAGUAAAGAAACCCAAGAGCCAAAAUUAAUGAAAAUACCUAUACCAAACCAAAGAAAUAAUGAAAACACCCCCCCCCCCAAAAAAAAAAACCUAUAACAAACGCAAACAACAGCCACUAUAAGCAAACCCAUAGCUAGAAACAAAAAGAAGCCCAUGAAAGCCUACAAGAAAAAAUGGACGAAAGACACAGUAAAAUACAAAAACAAACAAACAAAAACAAGCAAUCACACACACACCACCACCACCACAUGCAAGGCACAACAAUAACAGCCAUACAAAGCAAAUGUAAAUGGAAAAAGAACAAAACCCACCAACCACAAACAAAAAUCCCAACAAAGUAAAGUUACCACAUGGGCACAAACACAACACAAAGACAAAACACCAAUAAAACUUGAAACAAAACCAAAGAGAAGCCCCACAAAAACAGAACACAAAAGCCAAUGUGACAAUGAAGCUAACAUGCAGGAAGAGCAAAGGCAAAAGCAUGAGGAACCAAAAAAAAAAAAAAAAAAAAAAAAAAAGAAACACGCAAAGAAAGCAAAAAUAUAUCCAAAAAGCAAGGAAAGCACCCACAGAAAGAUAAUGCAAAAGCAAAAACAUAGCCCACAAAACAUGAAGGCAAUGACUAAAACAAGCAAAAAACCAAGGAGAAACUAAACCAAAGGCAAAGCCAAAAGCAAAACACAACACCUAACAGAACAAAACAAAUACAACACAAACAGCAUGACAAAACAAAUGGAAACCACUCACACAACACUCAGAGAAAACAAAUGACAAACAGCACAGUAAAUCAAAAGAAGAAAACCCAUGGGAAACCUAACCACAAACCUAACCACACCAACAAAGAACAAAAAUCUAAAAGUAAUGGAAAAAACACCAGACAGGAACUAAAAGGGAAAACAAACUAAGAAAACACCCACAGAAAAUCAAAAACCAGCAAAGCACCUGCAGAAGGGAAAAACCAAAGCACCCCCAAAAAGCUAAAAAAACAAACACAGCACUACAGAAACCUUAAAGAAAAGCAGAGGCGACGCAGAGUAGAACACCAAAGCAAACCCAAACCAAACGCAAAAAUGGUCACAAUGCACAGCACAACACGAAACCAAACUGAAUGCAAAACCCAGGGAAAAGCAAGACCAAAGAAAGAAAACCAAAACCAAACGCGAAGGCAAACCAAACAUGCAGCAGAAGCAAAGAACAACUGAAACAUAAGAAAAACACUCACACAGUGCUAAAACAAACUCAAAACACCACCAAAGAAUAACGAAAUCCAACACCUGAGACAAAGAAAACACCCAGGAAAAACUGCUAACACAAAGGAGAAAACAGAAAACGCCCACAGAAUUCAAAAGAAAAGGUAAAUGAUACAACAACUGAAACACAAAGGCAAAAAAAGACAAAACCAAACAAAAGAACCAAACAAAACUAAAACAAACGCUAAUAAAAAGGCAAGCAAAACUGCCACAGAAAGCCAAUACAAAGGUAAAGGGAACAGGAACAAAAAAAAAAAAAAAAAAUCAGGAAGAAAACAAACAGAAGAAGACCCAAACCUGUAAACAACCCCAAAACACAACAAAUAUUCCAGGAAACGCUUAACAAGGCCAUACUACCCAAUAGGAAAAAACUCAACUACAGACAAUGCACUUACCUCUUUGGAUGACCACCUUCAACUCAAAGUAAGCAUUCAAGCCUCUCAAGGACACGAACCUUUCUGUUUCUUCCCACAUACCUGAAGAGCUGCAAACUUCACAGUGGGCUUCUUAACCCACACAGAAAUGCCACACUUCUGAAUGACCACCUGUCCAACACAAAAAAUGUUAACAACUGAACCCAGCACAUAUAAGCUUGCCCCUCUUCCACAAAUACGCCCUGUACAGCUCCAAUCUGAAAACAACAUCCCUACUUCCAAGCCCAAAAAGCUGCUGACUACUCAACUCACUGCAGGGAUGCAGACAUCAACAAUCAAGACACAUUGCUAAUCUAUAUCAACUCAACAACCUUAUGUCUACUUAAAAACAAUCACCACCCUCUUGUAAAGGAAACCAGGAGCACAUCACAAGCCUCUGGCAACACGUACCUCACAAACUCCAGUCUGCAACCCACCUGUUGAAACUACAAACCAACAGACAGCACUCCCGCUUCACCUGACAAACUGAAGAAUGCCAUACUGCCAGAGAGAACAAGAUAUCCUGGAAAGAAAGAAAACAGGAAAAACAGUCAGAGUAAAAUAGCAGCAAUAAAUAAAUAAAUCAAACAAUACAAAGGGAGAAGUGCAAGCACCAAAAACCACACCAGCGUGCAAAAAGCCCAGUGCAUCAAGACUCCAAAACAAAACAUAAUACACAAAUUAGGAGAAACAUCACAACAGCUACUAAAGACUCAUAUUCUGAGGCUAUUAAGAAACUCACCCGAGCGCUGUAGCAGCCGCUCCUGGGGAGCCGCUCUGGCAAAGUCCUGC
ensembl:lncRNA